AGGAGCGUCUCUGCCCGGCAGCCCAUAA
rnacentral:piRNA from 1 species